rnacentral:rRNA from 1 species
GACGAACCGUGCAAACGUUACUCGGAUUCACUGGGCUUAAAGGGCGCGUAGGCUGUCCGCUAAGUCGUGGGUGAAAUCUUUCGGCUCAACCGGAAGACUGCCCUCGAUACUGGCGGGCUAGAGGGAGGUAGGGGCAGCGGGAACUGCCAGUGGAGCGGUGAAAUGCGUUGAUAUUGGCAGGAACGCCGGUGGCGAAAGCGCGCUGCUGGACCUUCCCUGACGCUGAGGCGCGAAAGCUAGGGGAGCAAACGGG